rnacentral:rRNA from 1 species
GAUGAACGCUGGCGGCGUGCCUAAUACAUGCAAGUCGAGCGAACAGACGAGGAGCUUGCUCCUUCGACGUUAGCGGCGGACGGGUGAGUAACACGUAGGUAACCUACCUAUAAGACUGGGAUAACUUCGGGAAACCGGAGCUAAUACCGGAUAAUAUUUCGAACCGCAUGGUUCGAUAGUGAAAGAUGGCUUUGCUAUCACUUAUAGAUGGACCUGCGCCGUAUUAGCUAGUUGGUAAGGUAACGGCUUACCAAGGCAACGAUACGUAGCCGACCUGAGAGGGUGAUCGGCCACACUGGAACUGAGACACGGUCCAGACUCCUGCGGGAGGCAGCAGUAGGGACUCUUCCGCAAUGGGCGAAAGCCUGACGGAGCAACGCCGCGUGAGUGAUGAAGGUCUUCGGAUCGUAAAACUCUGUUAUUAGGGAAGAACAAACGUGUAAGUAACUGUGCACGUCUUGACGGUACCUAAUCAGAAAGCCACGGCUAACUACGUG